rnacentral:misc_RNA from 1 species
AAUGUUGUAAAUGAUGUUAAUGGCAAACCACAACAACAUUGUGCAUCUUAUUUGAUGUUAAUAAGCAUCUGCCUGAAGAAACAUGAAUGAUGAAGGUCCAUCAGAUUCCGAGAACGGUUUUGACGCAAGAAAUCAAGGUAACAAAAAUGAGUCCCCACCAAGACUACAGACAGCAGGAAUCUUUGGGAAUGUGCAAAGGCUUCAUCCAACCCAUCCUGAGAAUCUCCUGAGACUCCAGCCAGCGAGACCGUCAGACAACGCUCCUCGGCUUCAGUCAGCAAGAUCUUUGGACAAUGCUCCAAGGUUCCAAGUAGCAAGAUCAUCAGAGAAUACUCCAAGGUUCCAACUUGCAAGAUCGUCAGAGAAUGUCCCCCGGCCUCAAGCAGCAAAAUCUACAGAGAAUGCUCCUCGACCUCAAAUGUCAAGACCUUCAGAGAAUUUACAAAGGCCACAGACAAUCUGGCCCUCUGAGAAUGUUCCUAGACUUCAGUCAGGUCAACCAACAGAGAAUGUUCCAAGACUGCAGCCAGUAAGGCCUUCAGAGAAUGUUCCUCCAGAAAUCAGUGUCUAUGACUGUAACAGUGAGGAAGAGGAUGAGGCUGUCCAACCCCCUCCUUCUAGGAAGCGGGCAGCUCUUUCCCCUCUCAAGCCACUUAAUCCCACUGUUUCCAAGACUGUCGAGUCCAGUCAGCCCACCAAAGCCAAAGUCAAGUAUAUGGGCUCAGUCAGUGGUCCCAGUGGACUGUCUGUAAGGCAAGAAUCUAUUGCUGGGUCCAAAGACUCACCAGAACAAAAAGAGAAUAAUGCCAUUUAUUAUGUAUUCAGUCAGAGACUCCUGCAGUUAUGUGAUCAGGUGCCAAAGAUACCUAAAAGGGCCAGUAUGGUACACACCUUGAUUGAAGCAUAUGAUCUACUGGAUCAUGUGACCCUAAUCACUCCGGAGUUUGCCACAAAAGACGAGCUGUUAGCCUUCCACUCCCAGGAGUAUAUUGAGUUCCUAGAGAGGGUCAACUUGGAGGAGGACUCAGAGAAAGAUGAGGAACUCAAACAACAGUUUGGCUUAGGUUAUGACUGCCCAAACCUGCCAUUAGUGUAUGACUUUGUGAGACUGGUUGCGGGUGCAUCUCUCAGCUGUGCCAAAGCUUUAAUUCAACAGAAAUGUAGGAUUGCAAUCAAUUGGAAUGGAGGCUGGCACCAUGCAAGGAGAGAUGAAGCAGCUGGAUUCUGCUAUGUCAAUGAUAUUGUUCUUGCCAUCCUAAAACUCAAGGAGCAUUUCAACCGUGUUCUCUACAUUGAUUUGGAUCUACAUCAUGGUGAUGCUGUAGAUGAUGCGUUUAUCUUCACUCCCAAAGUGAUGACUGUCUCUCUUCACAAACACUCACCAGGGUUCUUUCCAGGUACUGGUAGUUUGAAUCGAGUAGGAGGGGGAAGGGGAAAGUUCUACACUGUCAGCGUUCCUCUCAAAGAUGGUAUCAAAGAUGAACAGUACUCUGAUCUCUUCACAAGGGUUAUGGAGCAAGUACGUGUGAAGUUCCAACCCAGCGUGGUAGUGGUCCAGUGUGGAGCAGAUACACUCUCAUCUGAUCCUAUGCAAUCCUUUAACCUUACCCCCCUAGGGGUGGGGCAGUGUGUGUCCAGGGUACUGUCAUGGAAGCUACCAACUCUCCUAUUGGGUGGGGGUAAGUCAAUCCUAUGCAAUCCUUUAACAUUACCUCUCUAGGGGUGGGGCAGUGUGUGUCCAGGGUACUGUCAUGGAAGCUACCAACUCUCUUGUUGGGUGGGGGAGGUUAUAACAUGGCCAAUACUGCUAGAUGCUGGUCCUAUCUAACAGGUCUGGUACUAGGAAAGAAGCUAC